GGCCGUACUGUUUUGCUGUUGAAAGUUUACAUAAUGAAUCCUCUGGUCCAUAAUGAACGCGACUUCGACAGCAUAUACAUUCAGUCGUCUCCCGCCACCUUACAGUCAGUUGCUCUCCCGUCGCUGAAAUGCUUUGGGUGAAGUGAAGUUUGGAGUCUAGGGUUUGUUCUUUCUCUCCAACUGAUGGCGAAUUCAGAUGCAGAGUCCGAUAACAGCCGCAAUGGCGAUAGUGGUAUUGGUUAAUACUUGACUUUGCUCCAUUGGGGCAUUUUCUGAAUUGGUUAACUGCAAUAAGCUUCAAGAUGACUGCCGCGAUGCGUGUUUCUCUAAUGGGCAUACCAUCAACAGAAAUCAUCUGAGACUCAGCGCGAUGCCGCUGUAAGUUUUCUCUUUUGCCAAGAAACUCUCAUUUCUAUAAUAGUUAACGACGGUAACUGCUGUUUAAAGACCAAUGGUAAUUGGGAUUUGGGUUUUAAUUGGGGUUGUCUGGUUGGCUCCUCUAGAGCAUCAGUGAUAGGUGUUCUUUUCUACUUUCAGUUACAACCUCAUUUUCUGCUUCAGUUGGAUUAGGAAUUGCAUUAAAGCUAGAAUUGCAUUGAACCUCAUUUUAAAGCUAGACGGUAGUUUCUUAAUUAUGCAUUAUGAACGGUAUGAACAUAGAGUUGAGAAACUGAAUACCUUAGAGAUGCGUGCGUUCAUUAUUGUUAUGGAAGACAAUUCAAGGGAACUAUCGCCAACUCCACUAAGACAAUUCAAGGGAACUAUCGCCAACUCCACUUUGAAACGACAUCACCUUUAUGUUUAAGUAUGGAGUUGAUUUGUGUUUGGUUUAUUGAAAGCGUCUCAUGUUCAAACAGGACGCUAGGGAAACAACCACAGGUAUCCAAUACGUGAACAUGAAGACCCCGUUCGUUUAAGGGUUUUGAAUUUUGGAUUUUGGAUUCUAAUCAUUAUCAUAUUUCUCUCUAAUCAUUACUCUCAUCUCUCUCUCUCUCUCUCCAACCAUUACUUUUAUUUCCAAUCAUUACUCUAUUUAUCUCUACACUCAUUAUCAACAAAUCCAAAUCUAAAAUCCCAAAACGAACAGGGUCGAAGGUAUUCCUUUAUUAUCGCAUUUAGACAUGACAUAAUUGUGGCAAAACCCAAUUAGCUGAAAGGAUCGGAGGAGAAAAUGAAAGUGAUACUUUCCAACAAUUUAAACUGUUCUUUGAUUGCUGCUUUUUCUAGGUGAUGUGCAUUUUAGAGCAGGUAUUAGCUGAAACACUUUGACAUGAUCAAGGAUUAAGAAUUGAUAGAAUGGAUUGUUGCUUCUCAACAUUUAUGUUUGCCAAUAUCAUACCCUCUGCACUUCAUGUUUGCCUCAUGAACGGUGAACGAUCUUUGACGAGAAUCGCAUUCGAACACGACAAUGCAUCCUCGAAUCCCUAUAUUAAAUGAGAGUAUCGGAUAACUCCAACAGCCAGUCACCAUCUAUCUCCCAUGUUUUUGCCAAGUCUCACCUCGUUUAUUGGUCGAGCAAUCCCAGUUUCCCAUUUAUCGCUGCACUCAUUUGAACGUCCUCUUUGACAAAAAUUGAGGAGGAGGUUGCUUAAGAUCUGUUUGCAUUUUCAUGAUUGAGAGCAAAUGAGGUCAUUAGACUCAUCACAAGGUUAGCGCUCUUAAAUAUUUUGUGCUUAUUAUGUCUGCAAUUCCGCAGACCAAGACAAAUGCCAGGAUUUGAAUAUAAGGGAUGUAUUAGGUUUGAUGAGCUGUUUGUCUUUAUGUAGAUGUUUAUGUAGAAAUGCAGCUAUGGCUUUUGGUGAUCUAUACAUGCAUAUGUGUAGUCUCCGGUGGACAGGGGUGGUAAGCGGGAACCACCCUCUAUAUUUUGACUAAUUCUCAUUGGUUCCACCUAUUUUAGGUACUAAAAAAAAUGACUUUUGGUCCAUCUAAAAGUUUUAGUUUAUUGGUUUUUCCCCUCAGAGACAAGAAAGUAAAUAAACAGGUUUAAGAAUUUAACCUUAGCCCCUUCAUAGUAUAAAUAAGUACAUCAUUCAAAGUAUUUCCUCCAAACUUCAAAUCAUUUUGCCUUGGUCCCCUUUGCAGGAUUCUAACGGUUGUGCCAUUGGUCUCAUCCCAGUCAUUCAUUGUCAUGGUUCUCUAUGAUAGUAUAGAAAGUAUAUCUGUAGGAUCCGAGAGUUAAUGAAUGUCAUGCAGUGACAUCCAUGGUGCACGAUGCACGAAGGGGAGAUGUGUUUGCUUUACCUUUGCAUUUAAUUGAUCUCACAAAGGUUGAGCAACCUCCUUGACGAUCUGUCCAUCCCUAGGGGGAAUCUAUGGAAUGACCAUAAAGAUGGGGAGGUUUUGGAAGAAGUUGCUUAGAACCUGUUUGUAUCUUCAUGAUUGAAUCACCAAAUGAUUGAGAAUGAACUAGGGCAUCAAACUCAUCACAAGGUUCGUACUCGUUCUAUUUGGUAGUUAUUUUGUCUGCAAUUUCUCUUUAGCCGGCCUCUCUGAAUUUGCAUCAGUUCAGCCGGUGUCUUAGUUCUAAGAGACGAGUGACAAAAAUGGUGAUCCCUGAAUAAGCUUGGACUACUGUUUUGUAUCUAGAAGAGGAAGUUUGUGCUGCUGUAUCGGGAUGCUGUUCUGGACUUGGUGGUUGCUGCUGUUUUGGGUUGCUAUUCAGGUUUAGGCAUGCUGCUGCUUUUUUAUUGUGAACUUUAGUCGUAGUAUCAGACUUGGUGGUUUUCCUGUUGUGGAAUUUAUUUUCAGACUGUUUCCAUUGUUGGUUUUAGCUAUUUAAUGAGUUGUUUUAGUCUAUUGUUGUGAGUUGCUUUGAUGGUUGUUGAUUCUCCAGGGACUAGUUAAGGAUUUCAGCUUUAAUGACAUUGCUAAUAACAAUUUUAUGGGUUGAUUUGUGUCAAA